GUGGCGUCAGACGACGCUGGCGGCGUGCUUAACACAUGCAAGUCAACGGGGCCUGCCUGGCUUUGGUUGGAUGGGUGAGUGGCGAACGGGUGAGUAACACGUGAGUAACCUGCCCUCUUCGUCUUUGGAUAACUGCUUGAAAGGGCGGCUAAUACGGGAUGUUCUGGCUGCCUCGCAUGGGGUGGUUUGGAAAGAUUCGGCCUGGUUUUGGUUGUUUUGGUGGGGGAUGGGCUCGCGGCUUAUCAGCUUGUUGGUGGGGUGAUGGCCUACCAAGGCGGUGACGGGUAGCCGGCCUGAGAGGGUGGACGGUCACACUGGGACUGAGACACGGCCCAGACUCCUGCGGGAGGCAGCAGUGGGGGAUUUUGCACAAUGGGCGCAGGCCUGAUGCAGCGACGCCGCGUGAGGGAUGGAGGCCUUCGGGUUGUGAACCUCUGUCGCCGGUGAUGUAGGCUCUGCUUUGUGGGUGGGGUUGACGGUAGCCGGGGUAUGAAGUGCCGGCUAACUACGUG
rnacentral:rRNA from 1 species